UACGAAGGGGGCUAGCGUUGCUCGGAUUGACUGGGCGUAAAGGGCGCGCAGGCGGCUCUGAAAGUCAGAUGUGAAAGCCCCGGGCUUAACCUGGGAAUUGCAUUUGAUACUCUGGAGCUUGAGUACGGGAGAGGAGAGUGGAAUUCCCAGUGUAGAGGUGAAAUUCGUAGAUAUUGGGAAGAACACCGGUGGCGAAGGCGGCUCUCUGGACCGUAACUGACGCUGAGGCGCGAAAGCGUGGGGAGCAAACAGG
rnacentral:rRNA from 1 species